rnacentral:misc_RNA from 1 species
AGACUCUCUCUUCAAUGGCAUCCAUUGUGGUAUUCUUCUCCUUCUUCUUCUAUUUUAUAUCCAGUGCUUUUGCUGACUCCUAUGGAUGGCAAGGCGCCCAUGCAACCUUUUAUGGUGGCGGCGAUGCUACGGGCACAAUGGGAGGGGCUUGCGGAUAUGGCAACCUAUACAGCCAGGGCUACGGAACCAACACCGCCGCCCUGAGCACCGCCCUCUUCAACGACGGGCUCAGCUGCGGCUCCUGCUAUGAGAUGCGGUGCGACGACGACCCCAAGUGGUGCCUCCCGGGAUCCAUCAUCAUCACGGCCACCAACUUCUGCCCCCCAAACUUCGCUGAAGCCAACGACAACGGUGGAUGGUGCAACCCUCCCCUCCAGCACUUCGACAUGGCCGAGCCAGCAUUCCUCCAGAUUGCUCAGUACCGUGCUGGAAUCGUCCCUAUCGCCUUUCGAAGGGUGCCUUGUGUGAAGAAAGGAGGGAUAAGGUUUACCAUCAACGGCCACUCCUACUUCAAUCUGGUGCUGAUCAGCAACGUUGCAGGGGCUGGAGAUGUACACGCCGUGUCCAUCAAGGGAUCGGGGACUGGGUGGCAGGCAAUGUCGCGCAACUGGGGCCAGAACUGGCAGAGCAACGGAUACCUGAAUGGCCAGAGCCUCUCUUUCCAGGUCACCACCAGUGAUGGCCGAACUGUGACCAGCUACAAUGUUGCUCCGGCGGGGUGGCAGUUUGGGCAGACUUUUAGUGGGGAGCAGUUCUAAGCUUAUUCUAUGGAUUUGGGGGCAGAAAAACAGAGAGAAACUAAGCUUCUACUACUGCAGAAUUUUAAGAUUGCAGAGGAGGUGGUGGGACCGAAAUGCUGAGGUUGCAGGUUUACAGCACCCUGGCCUUUAAUGUAAAGUGAUUUCAAGUAAGAUUCGGUUUGGCUGGGUUGGGGGCCAAGGCUCUUUGAUGUAAAUAUUUGCGAGGGAGAGAGGUGCAUAAUGCCCUCCCUAUAUAUAUUUUAGGGAAUAGUAAAAUUACUGUUUAC